rnacentral:tRNA from 1 species
GCCCCCGUCGUCUAGCCUGGCCAAGGACACCGCCCUUUCACGGCGGCGACACGAGUUCAAAUCUCGUCGGGGGUA